rnacentral:rRNA from 1 species
UACGGAGGGGGCCAGCGUUGUUCGGAAUUAUUGGGCGUAAAGGGCGCGUAGGCGGCCGGAUAAGUCUGACGUGAAAUCCCCCGGCUCAACCGGGGAACUGCGUUUGAAACUGUUCGGCUCGAGUCCGGGAGAGGGUAGUGGAAUUCCCAGUGUAGCGGUGAAAUGCGUAGAUAUUGGGAGGAACACCGGUGGCGAAGGCGGCUACCUGGACCGGUACUGACGCUGAGGCGCGAAAGCUAGGGUAGCAAACGGG